UCGGAUAUGGUGUAACGGCUAACAUUGCCGCCUCUCAUCUGUGAGAGCUAGUCCGCGGCAGCUCGGGGUUCGAUUCCCCGUAUCCGAA
rnacentral:tRNA from 2 species